rnacentral:rRNA from 1 species
GAUGAACGCUGGCGGCGUGCCUAAUACAUGCAAGUCGAGCGAACAGACGAGGAGCUUGCUCCUCUGACGUUAGCGGCGGACGGGUGAGUAACACGUGGAUAACCUACCUAUAAUACUUGGAUAACUUCGGGAAACCGGAGCUAAUACCGGAUAAUAUAUUGAACCGCAUGGUUCAAUAGUGAAAUACGGUUUUUCUGUCACUUAUAGAUUGAUCCGCGCCGCAUUAUCUAGUUGGUAAGGUAACGGCUUACCAAGGCAACGAUGCGUAGCCGACCUGAGAGGGUGAUCGGACAAACGGGAACUGAGACACGGACCAGACUCCGACGGGAGGCAGCAGUAGGGAAUCUUCCGCAAUGGGCGAAAGCCUGACGGAGCAACGCCGCGUGAGUGAUGAAGGUCUUCGGAUCGUAAAACUCUGUUAUUAGGGAAGAACAAAUGUGUAAGUAACUAUGCACGUAUUGACGGUACCUAAUCAGAAAGCCACGGCUAACUACGUG